GGACGAACGCUGGCGGCGUGCUUAAUACAUGCAAGUUGAGCGGAGCCAUUGAUGAAGCUUGCGAUUCAAUGGUCGAGCGGCGGACGGGUGAGUAACACGUGAGCAACCUGCCCCAGACUCUGGGAUAACAGUUGGAAACAGCUGCUAAUACCGGAUACGAGACGGAGAGGCAUCUCUACCGUCUGGAAAGUUUUUCGGUCUGGGAUGGACUCGCGGCCUAUCAGCUAGUUGGUGAGGUAAUGGCUCACCAAGGCGACGACGGGUAGCCGGCCUGAGAGGGCGACCGGCCACACUGGGACUGAGACACGGCCCAGACUCCUACGGGAGGCAGCAGUGGGGAAUAUUGCACAAUGGGCGAAAGCCUGAUGCAGCGACGCCGCGUGAGGGAUGACGGCCUUCGGGUUGUAAACCUCUUUCAGCAGGGAAGAAGCGAAAGUGACGGUACCUGCAGAAGAAGCACCGGCUAACUACGUG
rnacentral:rRNA from 1 species